rnacentral:rRNA from 1 species
UGCGUAGGCGGUCCCGCAAGUCCGUUGUGAAAGCCCCGGGCUUAACCUGGGAAUGGCAGUGGAAACUAGGGGACUUGAAUCUGGCAGAGGGGGGUGGAAUGCCACGUGUAGCAGUGAAAUGCGUAGAGAUGUGGCGGAACACCGAUGGCGAAGGCAGCCCCCUGGGCUGAGAUUGACGCUCAGGCACGAAAGCGUGGGGAGCAAACAGGAUUAGAUACCCUGGUAGUCCACGCCCUAAACGAUGAUCACUAGGUGUUGGGGAAGCGAUUUCUCAGUACCGCAGCUAACGCGUGAAGUGAUCCGCCUGGGGAUACGGUCGCAAGAUUAAA